AUACGUAGGGGGCGAGCGUUGUCCGGAAUGAUUGGGCGUAAAGGGCGCGUAGGCGGCCCGGUAAGUCUGGAGUGAAAGUCCUGUUUUUAAGAUGGGAAUUGCUUUGGAUACUGUCGGGCUUGAGUGCAGGAGAGGUAAGUGGAAUUCCCAGUGUAGCGGUGAAAUGCGUAGAGAUUGGGAGGGACACCAGUGGCGAAGGCGACUUACUGGACUGUAACUGACGCUGAGGCGCGAAAGUGUGGGGAGCAAACAGGAUUAGAUACCCUGGUAGUCCACACUGUAAACGAUGAAUGCUAGGUGUAGGGGGUAUCGACCCCUUCUGUGCCGCAGUCAACACAAUAAGCAUUCCGCCUGGGGAGUACGGCCGCAAGGUUGAAACUCAAAUGAAUUGACGGGG
rnacentral:rRNA from 1 species